UUUAAAAAAAAUAGAAACGCUUUUCACCUUACCUCUGACGUUCUAAUUUCGUUCCUUUUCUCCUUCUCUGAGCAGUUUCUUUAGGAUUUCAAAACCAUUUAAACCUUCCUCAGAGAAUUUCAUAUAUAUGACCAUCUCUGCUUCAGUCAAGGAUCCGCUGCAAUCAGGAUUGACGUGGGAAUUCAGGGCUUCCGCAAUCUCCAUGUCCGCUUGGCAGCCAGGAUUCGCACGAAGAAAUAGAGGCUUAAAUUGCAUCACUUUCUUCUUCCCUUCAUUUUCUCUCUAGGGUUCCAAAAUUGACAGAUUUGGGAGAUAGGCUUUCUGCAAUUUUUCAAAUUUGGUGCGCCUUUGCUGGGAUUAUGGGGUUCCAGUUUGUGCAUUGAUGUCAUUCUUCUUCAUUGUUCUUGAUUGUGUAGGAAAACUGGCGCUGGAAUUUCAGAUUCAACCAAACUAGGCCAAGCUGCAAUUUUAUCUUUUUUUGGGUUUUUCUCCUUUUCGUUCAUGUCUGUGCUGUAUUGAAAUUCAAGCUUCAAUGUGGGUUUUCUGUUAGCUGGCGGGAAAAUCGGUGGGUGAGUGAGUGGGUUGGUUGGGGCACUUCAGAAUCGCUCAGUUCUCAUGCUUUACAGUGGAAAAUGAGGUUGGGUUUGUUACAUUACAGAGGGUAAAGUUUUGUUAGUUUUAGACACUAUUAAUUGUUAUCAAUGCUUCAGUGUGUUUGUGUUUUGAAUGGAUCUUUCUCUUCAAUCUGUGGUAGCAGUGGCCAAAUGGGGUUAGUUGUUUGCAUGAUCCACAUUUAGGGGAGAAGUGAUUCUUGGAGAAGCUACUUUGGGAAAAAGUGAUUCUUGAGAAUUAAAAGUAUAUUCAAACAUGCUAUUAGAGUUAUGUUGUGCAUCUUCUCUGCUUUAGGAGGAGGUGGGGAUUUGGACUUGGGAAGUCUCUGAAAAAGUGUAGUUUGAUGCAAUCCGGGCUUAAGGCCUUGGUGUUAAUCAUUUAUGGCCUCAAAGCGUUGUAUUUGUGUGAUUGAGUAUUGAGGCUCUAAUUUGAAAUUUCUUUUUUAUAUAUUGCUUACAAUUUAGAUUACAAUCUACUUAUGGAUAUGAAAUAACAAAAUUAUCAUCUGUAUAUGAAUAUUAGUUUGACGGUUGUUAAUUUCCUGCUUUUGGUUAUUUAUUCUGACAUCUAAAUCAAAUUCUUAUUUUUUUAAUUUAUCAAAAAAAGAUUUUGAAGGGACCGUAGUGAUGAGAAACCUGAGAUCUACCAAAAAGUGAAUGUGAAGAAAAGCAAAUAAGAAGGAUUUUAGUGCUAGAAGCCUGCUAUCAUGCUUAGUUUCUCUUCAUUAAUUAGAAGUCUACUCACACUUCCCUCUCUGCCAAUUCAAUAGUGGAAUUUGGACUUCCCAUGGGAAACUUGGGUGAAGAAAAUCGAUUAGUACUUACUUCAUUUGCUAUACUCGCCACUUCGACGAACUGUUGACAUAGCAGAAAUAUUUUUUUGGCUGAUGGUAGCUUUGACAAUACUGUGUACGUUAUAUUGGUCACCGUGGUGGCCCCGAAUAGAGGGAAGGAAAAAGUUUGUGCCCUUUACGAGCCAUGUCAUAUACUGCCACCUCUUCUUCUCUAAUCAACUGGAGUUCAUAUCCUCAACUUAUUUCUGCAGGGGACUAUGAAAUCCCAAACACUAAAGACGCAGGUGAUAGAAUCUCUCCAUGUCACUUGAGGCUUCAUUGUGUGUCAAGCUCCUUAGAGAGAAUUGCAUAUAUCGUUAAAAAUUGUAUUGGUAUUUAGUCAUUGCGGUUUCUGUUUUGAGCACUAUAUUUAACCACUUAAACAGGAGUUACUGUUAAAAAUAAAGUCACUUUAAUUAGAAAAGAAAGGUUUCACUGUUACAAAAAUGAAUGGUCAUAAGUUAUUAUACAUUAAGGAGCAUUUAGUGUGUCUGUGGUCAUCAUUAUUUGUUAUGUAACCACUAAGCAUUAGCUUUAUGCCUGUUUAGUAUUUUUAAUUAAGGUGUUAUGUAUUGGUUAUGAAUUACUCUUUAAUAAAUGGAGUAUCAUCUCAUGUAGCAUGUGUAGGAUGUGUGGCAAAAUCAUGUCCUUUCUAGAUUCUUGCUAUAGUAUAUUUAAAAGAUUGUAAAUGUUAUUGUAAUAUCUUUCGUGUUGUAUUUUCAGGGUAACUGAGAAGUCCACUAAAAAGUAUGCCAGUUAAACAAAAGAGUGUGCUUAAUCAUAGGGAAACACUUUAAAUGUCUCUUUUUGUCCCCUUACAAUGUUUACAUCGAAGUUAUUAGAAAUAGCCCUCAUUUCUAACAACAUUGUAUAUGAUGAUGUUGAUCCGGUGCAGAUCAUAUGCCAUCAAUAGAUGAAUCGAGUUCUAAUUUUUUAGUUUAACCUUCUUUUCUGCUAUUAUAUGAGCAAAGUCCUUCCUCCACAAAUGCUAAAGCAAAUAGGUGGUUGGGAGGAUUGAUUGAAGAGUUUGAUGAAGCAGAUGAAUCUACUAAGGAAGAAUGUUUGGUGGUUGCUUAUGAACUGUGGAUUGUUUUCGAUCACUUCUAUAUACUCAUGUUUCACGAGAGCUAGAUUUGGCAUUGCCAAAUUUAUUGGAUUGAGAUGUUUAUCAAUUUAUAGAAAUCUCAAGAAGUGUAAUGGAAUUGUUUGUUUCAAUUUCACAUUGGCUGUCUUUUUCAGUAUAAAUUAAAAUCCUUUUUUUCUUCCA